rnacentral:snRNA from 1 species
AUACUUACCUGGCAGGGGAGAUACCAUGAUCACAGGUGGUUUCCCAGGGCGAGGCUUAUCCAUUGCACUGCAGAUGUGCAACCCCUGCGAUUUCCCCAAAUGUGGGAAACUCGACUGCAUAAUUUUUCGUAGUGGGGAACUGCGUUUGCGGUUUCCCCUA